rnacentral:rRNA from 1 species
GGGUGCUUCUUCUUCGGAAGAUGUAACCCGGCGGACGGCUCAUUAACACGUGGACAACUUGCCCUUGGGUCCGGAAUAACCCCUGAGAAAUUGGGGAUAAUACAGGAUAGAGCAUCGGUUGCUGGAAUGCACGGUGUUCGAAAGUUGAGGCGCCCAAGGAUAGGUCUGCGGCCGAUUAGGUUGUUGUUGAUGUAACGGAUCAACAAGCCUACGAUCGGUACGGGUUGUGAGAGCAAGAGCCCGGAGAUGGGUUCUGAGAGAAGAACCCAGGUCCUACGGGACGCAUCAGGCGCGGAAACUUUACAAUGUGCGAAAGCACGAUAAGGGAACUCUGAGUGCCUCCUAAGGAGGCUGUUCAGGUGUCUAAAAAGCACUUGAAGGAAGGGCUGGGUAAGACCGGUGCCAGCCGCCGCGGUAACACCGGCAGCCCAAGUGGUAGUCACGCUUAUUGGGUCUAAAGCGUCCGUAGCCGGCUGAGUAAGUUCUUUGGGAAAUUUAACCGCUUAACGGUUAAGCUUUCAGUGAAUACUGCUUAGCUUGGGACCGGGAGAGGUCAGAGGUACCUCAAGGGUAGGGGUGAAAUCCAUUAAUCCUUGAGGGACCACCGGUAGCGAAG